rnacentral:tRNA from 1 species
AAGGGAGACCUAAUUCAGGUAGGAGACGAAAAAAAAGUAGUCGCUACCAAGAAUCAAUCCCAAAAGGUCGGAGCGAGGCGAAAUUGGCUUUCAAACUAGGUUCUGGGUUCACACAAGACCUGAAUCAGGAACAAGGGCUAUUAGCUCAGGUGGUUAGAGCGCACCCCUGAUAAGGGUGAGGUCCCUGGUUCGAGUCCAGGAUGGCCCACCUGUACAGGUGGCAAAAAGAAAGAAAAGAAGCGAGGAAUCAGCACCUUAUCUUACUGACAUAGCAAGAGAGGAUGCUGGCUCUGAGUAAAGAGUCCAGAGGAACCUUGAAAACUGCAUAGAGCUAGGUGAAAAAGCCAAAAAAGAAGACCGCAA